rnacentral:rRNA from 1 species
UACAGAGGUCCCAAGCGUUGUUCGGAUUCACUGGGCGUAAAGGGUGCGUAGGUGGUCAGGUAAGUCUGAUGUGAAAUCUCUGGGCUCAACCCAGAAACUGCAUUGGAUACUAUCUGGCUAGAGGAGUGGAGGGGGGACUGGAAUACCUGGUGUAGCGGUGAAAUGCGCAGAUAUCAGGAGGAACACCGGUGGCGAAGGCGGGUCUCUGGGCCGAUACUGACGCUGAGGAGCGAAAGCGUGGGGAGCGAACAGG